ACACGUUCUCGGGGCGGGGUGCGAUUCCCCACCGGCGGUAAUCGUCCCUAGCGGACGUAGCCCGCGAGCUGCUCGGCCGAUGCCAUCGCAAGAAGGCGCGCGGCGAUGUCAGCAGACCCGGUUGGAUUCCGGGGCCGACGGUAUAGUCCGGAUGAAAGAGAACAGGA
rnacentral:ncRNA from 1 species